rnacentral:rRNA from 1 species
GCCAUGCUAGUUGUACGAGUUCAGACUCGUAGCAGAUAGCUCAGUAACACGUGGCCAAACUACCCUAUGGAUCCGGACAACCUCGGGAAACUGAGGCUAAUCCGGAAUACGACUCUCAGCCUGGAAGUGGCGAGAGUCAGAAACGCUCCGGCGCCAUAGGAUGUGGCUGCGGCCGAUUAGGCAGACGGUGGGGUAACGGCCCACCGUGCCCAUAAUCGGUACGGGUUGUGAGAGCAAGAGCCCGGAGACGGUAUCUGAGACAAGAUACCGGGCCCUACGGGGCGCAGCAGGCGCGAAACCUUUACACUGCACGAAAGUGCGAUAAGGGGACUCCAAGUGCGAGGGCAUAUAGUCCUCGCUUUUCACUACCGUAAGGAGGUAGUAGAAUAAGUGCUGGGCAAGACCGGUGCCAGCCGCCGCGGUAAUACCGGCAGCACGAGUGAUGACCGCUCUUAUUGGGCCUAAAGCGUCCGUAGCUGGCCACGCAAGUCUAUCGGGAAAUCCGCGCGCUCAACGCGCGGGCGUCCGGUGGAAACUGUGUGGCUUGGGACCGGAAGAUCCAGAGGGUACGUCUGGGGUAGGAGUGAAAUCCCGUAAUCCUGGACGGACCACCGGUGGCGAAAGCGCUCUGGAAAGACGGAUCCGACGGUGAGGGACGAAAGCUCGGGUCACGAACCGGAUUAGAUACCCGGGUAGUCCGAGCUGUAAACGAUGUCUGCUAGAUGUGCCACAGGCUACGAGCCUGUGGUGUGUCGUAGGGAAGCCGUGAAGCAGACCGCCUGGGAAGUACGUCCGCAAGGAUGAACUUAA